rnacentral:ncRNA from 1 species
UUAAUUGGUGAUUUACGUUAUAUUUAUUUAAGGUUAUUAUUAAGAAUAUGUUUUUAAAUAUAAAUAUGUUUUAUUUAAUAUGUAUUUAUUAUAGGUUAUAUUGGUAUAAUAAGUUGAUAAGUAUUUCAGUAUAUUUAUUUGUACAAUGAAUGAAAGUUUUAUACAGAAAUUAUAUGUGAUAAUUGGGUAAAUUUGUGCCAGCAUCUGCGGUUAUACAAAUAAUUUAAAUUAAAAAUUUAUGGUUUAAAAUAAAGUUAUAUAAGGGGGAUAAAAGGAAUUAAUAUUUUAUUUGUUAAGUAAAAUUAUUAAAAAUUAUUUGUUUUUUAUUAUUUUCUUUAUUAUGAAUUCUUUGAAAAUUUAAAUAUAAACUAGGAUUAGAUACCCUAUUAUUUUAUUUUUUAAAAAAUUUUGUACCUAAGUAUUAUGAAUAAUAAUUGUUAAUAUAUAUGUGUAGUAUUUAAAACUUAAAAGAUUUGGCGGUUCUUCAUAUCCAAUUAGGGGAGUUUGUUAAUUAAUUUGAUAAUCCACAUUUUAAACUUACUUUUUUUUGAAAAUUAUGAUAGCAGUUUGUAUAUUGCUGUCGUUAGUUUAUGUUUUAAGAAUUAGUUAAAAAACUAAGAAAUGUUUUAAUUAUUAUGUCAAGUCAUAAUGCAGCUUAUAGAGAAGGUUUAAUGAACUACUAUAAUUAAUAUUAUUGAUUGUCCGGAUUUUAAAUAUUAUAGUUGAUUAGUAAGGUGGACUUAAUAGUAAAUUUAUAAUUAGUAUGUAAAAUUGAAUUAAUGGUUUUGUAGAGUGUACAUAUCGCCCGUCACUCUUGUUGUUUGAAAUAAGAUAAGUCGUAACAUAGUAGAGGUAAUGGAAAUUGUUUCUGGAUUAAU